UCUUCUAAGCCACACUUUGGUGGGACUGUUGCAGCAGAACAGCCGGAUCUUUGAUGCCGCAUACAAAGCGCUCAUGAAAGCUUUCACAGAGCAUAACAAAUUUGGGAACCUGCCAUAUGGCUUUCGGGCAAACACUUGGGUGGUUCCACCAAUUGUUGCUGAUAACCCGUCGACAUUCCCGCCACUUCCUGUGGAAGAUGAAAACUGGGGUGGAAAUGGAGGCGGACAUGGAA